CAGCCGCCGCGGUAACACCAGCCCCUCGAGUGGUGGGGAUGAUUAUUUGGCCUAAAGCGUCCGUAGCCAGCCGGAAAAGUUUCCCGUUAAAUCCGACGUCUCAAGCGUUGGACUGCGGGAAAUACUGUCCGGCUAGAGAGUGGGAGAGGUUAGCGGUAUUCUGGGGGUAGGGGCGAAAUCCUUUGAUCCCCGGAGGACCACCAGUGGCGAAGGCUGCUGACUAGAACACGUCUGACGGUCAGGGACGAAAGCUGGGGUAGCGAACCGGAUUAGAUACCCGGGUAGUCCCAGCCGUAAACGAUGCAUGCUAGGUGUUGGGUUGGCCACGAGCCACCCCAGUGCCGCAGGGAAGCCGUUAAGCAUGCCGCCUGGGAAGUACGAUCGCAAGGUUGAAACUUAAAGGAAUUGGCGGGGGAGCAC
rnacentral:rRNA from 2 species